UACGUAGGGUGCAAGCGUUAAUCGGAAUUACUGGGCGUAAAGCGUGCGCAGGCGGUUGUGCAAGACAGAUGUGAAAAUCCCCGGGCUUAACCUGGGAAUUGCAUUUGUGACUGCACGGCUAGAGUGUGUCAGAGGGGGGUAGAAUUCCACGUGUAGCAGUGAAAUGCGUAGAUAUGUGGAGGAAUACCGAUGGCGAAGGCAGCCCCCUGGGAUAACACUGACGCUCAUGCACGAAAGCGUGGGGAGCAAACAGG
rnacentral:rRNA from 1 species